rnacentral:rRNA from 1 species
UACGAAGGGUGCAAACGUUGCUCGGAAUUACUGGGCGUAAAGCGUGCGCAGGCGGUGAGCUGUGUCCGAUGUGAAAGCCCCGGGCUUAACCUGGGAAUGGCAUUGGAAACUGGCUCGCUGGAGUGUGGCAGAGGGGGGUGGAAUUCCGCGUGUAGCAGUGAAAUGCGUAGAGAUGCGGAGGAACACCGAUGGCGAAGGCAGCCCCCUGGGCUAACACUGACGCUCAGGCACGAAAGCGUGGGGAGCAAACAGG